rfam:Schistosoma rodhaini strain Burundi genome assembly, scaffold: SROB_scaffold0004326
AUCCAGCUGAUGAGUCCCAAAUAGGACGAAAUGCGCGUCAAACUGGAU